rnacentral:rRNA from 1 species
UUGAACGCUGGCGGAAUGCUUUACACAUGCAAGUCGAACGGCAGCACGGGGGCAACCCUGGUGGCGAGUGGCGAACGGGUGAGUAAUACAUCGGAACGUGCCCGAUCGUGGGGGAUAACGCAGCGAAAGCUGUGCUAAUACCGCAUACGAUCUACGGAUGAAAGCAGGGGACCGCAAGGCCUUGCGCGGACGGAGCGGCCGAUGGCAGAUUAGGUAGUUGGUGGGAUAAAAGCUUACCAAGCCGACGAUCUGUAGCUGGUCUGAGAGGACGACCAGCCACACUGGGACUGAGACACGGCCCAGACUCCUACGGGAGGCAGCAGUGGGGAAUUUUGGACAAUGGGGGAAACCCUGAUCCAGCCAUGCCGCGUGCAGGAUGAAGGCCUUCGGGUUGUAAACUGCUUUUGUACGGAAAGAAAUCGGGCGCGUGAAUAGCGUGCCUGGAUGACGGUACUGUCAGAAGAAGCACCGGCUAACUACGU